rnacentral:lncRNA from 1 species
UGAAAGAUCAUGCAAUUCUCAUGUCUUAUUUUUUUAAGGGAAAAUUACCUAGAAACAUGCAUUUAAAGACCAAUUUUCAAAAAAAACAAGAAGAUUAAAUUACAUUUCACAAAUCAGGUGAUAAUUCGUUUUUAAUAAUUAUAUUAUAAAAUUAAUUAAUUUACCAAAUCUCACACCAACCCAAACCCAUUCUCACUCUAAUCUCUUUCUCACCGUCUUUUCUUUCUCCUUCUUUAUUGGAGCAGCGACAGCGCCUCUAAUGAUCGAAGAGCGGCGAUUUGUGCUUCGACGACUCUUUCUACUCUCUUCUCUUCACAUAUUCCAUCUUCUUUCUUACUAUGGAGGGGGACCGGCGUCACUAGAUCGAUGCAGUUGAGCGUUCGUCUCUUACUUGCAACGACAUCGACUACGAGAUCGGCAAAGUUGAGCGUUCUUCGCUCAUUUUCGUCUUUCUCGUUGUUCGAAUCAAUUGGCUUUGUUUUCUCUUUUCUUUUGAUUUUGUGGUGGCCGGAGUUUUUGAGUAGAUUUGCGGUAGCGGUGACAGUAGCUUGUUUAGGAACUUUGUUGUUCAACUUGCAAUUUCAAAUUUGAGUUUGAUUUCUCGGCUCCGCUGGCCGACAGUGGCGCGCCGCCGAGGUCCAUGAGCUCAGCCAAUGAAUUGUUCUUGAAUGGCCAGAUUCGACAACGUGUGAAUCUGGGUCUGCAUCGAGGUCUUGUAUAGAAGUAAAAGUGAAGGUAGAAAAAACAAGCAUAAAUUCUGGGGUCCUUAUCAUUUUCACCUGUCAAAGACAAGAAAAUGGAGAAGCCCAUUCCCAACCCCAAAAACUCAUCAACUAAGAAAACUAAAAAUGCUGCAAAUUCAAUAGCAGAAGUAGUAAAUUCCAACAUUGGAGCCACACAAAAAAGUUACGAAAUAGGUGAAAAACAGGGCAGUAAAUGGGAUUGGUAAAAGAAGGGUGUCUCUGUCUCCUCAUGAAUUGCUUUACACCGUAAAUAGGGCAUAGGCAGAGGAGAUGAGGAAGAAGACAUUUUUGCCUUAUACACAAUUGUUGGGUUGUUUACUUUAGGAUUCAGUUCAAAGGACUAUGGUGCCAUGAAUGGUUUUGCUAGAGCUUUGAACUCUGUGUCAUUAAGGUAAAAAAUGAAUUUUCAAGAAAAUGUGUUGAUUUCUUGAACAUGGGGUUCUUAAGUGCUAGAUUUGUAUAGAAUAUAUUUUAUUUUCUAAAUUUUGUUCAUGUUUUUUGGUGCUUAUGUGUUUGCAUUUAUUCAUUAUUAUUAUUAUUAGCAGCUUUGCAUGGAGAAAGAGAAAUGAUUUCUGUUGAUUCUGUAAAAUAUAUUUCGAGAAAUUUACUCAGUAUCACUAGCUGAUGUUGUGGUG